UAGGGAAUCUUCGGCAAUGGACGGAAGUCUGACCGAGCAACGCCGCGUGAGUGAAGAAGGUUUUCGGAUCGUAAAGCUCUGUUGUAAGAGAAGAACGAGUGUGAGAGUGGAAAGUUCACACUGUGACGGUAUCUUACCAGAAAGGGACGGCUAACUACGUGCCAGCAGCCGCGGUAAUACGUAGGUCCCGAGCGUUGUCCGGAUUUAUUGGGCGUAAAGCGAGCGCAGGCGGUUAGAUAAGUCUGAAGUUAAAGGCUGUGGCUUAACCAUAGUAGGCUUUGGAAACUGUUUAACUUGAGUGCAAGAGGGGAGAGUGGAAUUCCAUGUGUAGCGGUGAAAUGCGUAGAUAUAUGGAGGAACACCGGUGGCGAAAGCGGCUCUCUGGCUUGUAACUGACGCUGAGGCUCGAGAGCGUGGGGAGCAAACAGGAUUAGAUACCCUGGUAGUCCACGCUGUAAACGAUGAGUGCUAGGUGUUAGACCCUUUCCGGGGUUUAGUGCCGUAGCUAACGCAUUAAGCACUCCGCCUGGGGAGUACGACCGCAAGGUU
rnacentral:rRNA from 1 species